GGUUAAGCGACUAAGCGUACACGGUGGAUGCCCUGGCAGUCAGAGGCGAUGAAGGACGUGCUAAUCUGCGAUAAGCGUCGGUAAGGUGAUAUGAACCGUUAUAACCGGCGAUUUCCGAAUGGGGAAACCCAGUGUGUUUCGACACACUAUCAUUAACUGAAUCCAUAGGUUAAUGAGGCGAACCGGGGGAACUGAAACAUCUAAGUACCCCGAGGAAAAGAAAUCAACCGAGAUUCCCCCAGUAGCGGCGAGCGAACGGGGAGCAGCCCAGAGCCUGAAUCAGUGUGUGUGUUAGUGGAAGCGUCUGGAAAGGCGCGCGAUACAGGGUGACAGCCCCGUACACAAAAAUGCACAUGCUGUGAGCUCGAUGAGUAGGGCGGGACACGUGGUAUCCUGUCUGAAUAUGGGGGGACCAUCCUCCAAGGCUAAAUACUCCUGACUGACCGAUAGUGAACCAGUACCGUGAGGGAAAGGCGAAAAGAACCCCGGCGAGGGGAGUGAAAAAGAACCUGAAACCGUGUACGUACAAGCAGUGGGAGCACGCUUAGGCGUGUGACUGCGUACCUUUUGUAUAAUGGGUCAGCGACUUAUAUUCUGUAGCAAGGUUAACCGAAUAGGGGAGCCGAAGGGAAACCGAGUCUUAACUGGGCGUUAAGUUGCAGGGUAUAGACCCGAAACCCGGUGAUCUAGCCAUGGGCAGGUUGAAGGUUGGGUAACACUAACUGGAGGACCGAACCGACUAAUGUUGAAAAAUUAGCGGAUGACUUGUGGCUGGGGGUGAAAGGCCAAUCAAACCGGGAGAUAGCUGGUUCUCCCCGAAAGCUAUUUAGGUAGCGCCUCGUGAAUUCAUCUCCGGGGGUAGAGCACUGUUUCGGCAAGGGGGUCAUCCCGACUUACCAACCCGAUGCAAACUGCGAAUACCGGAGAAUGUUAUCACGGGAGACACACGGCGGGUGCUAACGUCCGUCGUGAAGAGGGAAACAACCCAGACCGCCAGCUAAGGUCCCAAAGUCAUGGUUAAGUGGGAAACGAUGUGGGAAGGCCCAGACAGCCAGGAUGUUGGCUUAGAAGCAGCCAUCAUUUAAAGAAAGCGUAAUAGCUCACUGGUCGAGUCGGCCUGCGCGGAAGAUGUAACGGGGCUAAACCAUGCACCGAAGCUGCGGCAGCGACGCUGAUGCGUUGUUGGGUAGGGGAGCGUUCUGUAAGCCUGCGAAGGUGUGCUGUGAGGCAUGCUGGAGGUAUCAGAAGUGCGAAUGCUGACAUAAGUAACGAUAAAGCGGGUGAAAAGCCCGCUCGCCGGAAGACCAAGGGUUCCUGUCCAACGUUAAUCGGGGCAGGGUGAGUCGACCCCUAAGGCGAGGCCGAAAGGCGUAGUCGAUGGGAAACAGGUUAAUAUUCCUGUACUUGGUGUUACUGCGAAGGGGGACGGAGAAGGCUAUGUUGGCCGGGCGACGGUUGUCCCGGUUUAAGCGUGUAGGCUGGUUUUCCAGGCAAAUCCGGAAAAUCAAGGCUGAGGCGUGAUGACGAGGCACUACGGUGCUGAAGCAACAAAUGCCCUGCUUCCAGGAAAAGCCUCUAAGCAUCAGGUAACAUCAAAUCGUACCCCAAACCGACACAGGUGGUCAGGUAGAGAAUACCAAGGCGCUUGAGAGAACUCGGGUGAAGGAACUAGGCAAAAUGGUGCCGUAACUUCGGGAGAAGGCACGCUGAUAUGUAGGUGAAGUCCCUUGCGGAUGGAGCUGAAAUCAGUCGAAGAUACCAGCUGGCUGCAACUGUUUAUUAAAAACACAGCACUGUGCAAACACGAAAGUGGACGUAUACGGUGUGACGCCUGCCCGGUGCCGGAAGGUUAAUUGAUGGGGUCAGCGCAAGCGAAGCUCUUGAUCGAAGCCCCGGUAAACGGCGGCCGUAACUAUAACGGUCCUAAGGUAGCGAAAUUCCUUGUCGGGUAAGUUCCGACCUGCACGAAUGGCGUAAUGAUGGCCAGGCUGUCUCCACCCGAGACUCAGUGAAAUUGAACUCGCUGUGAAGAUGCAGUGUACCCGCGGCAAGACGGAAAGACCCCGUGAACCUUUACUAUAGCUUGACACUGAACAUUGAGCCUUGAUGUGUAGGAUAGGUGGGAGGCUUAGAAGUGUGGACGCCAGUCUGCAUGGAGCCGACCUUGAAAUACCACCCUUUAAUGUUUGAUGUUCUAACGUUGACCCGUAAUCCGGGUUGCGGACAGUGUCUGGUGGGUAGUUUGACUGGGGCGGUCUCCUCCUAAAGAGUAACGGAGGAGCACGAAGGUUGGCUAAUCCUGGUCGGACAUCAGGAGGUUAGUGCAAUGGCAUAAGCCAGCUUGACUGCGAGCGUGACGGCGCGAGCAGGUGCGAAAGCAGGUCAUAGUGAUCCGGUGGUUCUGAAUGGAAGGGCCAUCGCUCAACGGAUAAAAGGUACUCCGGGGAUAACAGGCUGAUACCGCCCAAGAGUUCAUAUCGACGGCGGUGUUUGGCACCUCGAUGUCGGCUCAUCACAUCCUGGGGCUGAAGUAGGUCCCAAGGGUAUGGCUGUUCGCCAUUUAAAGUGGUACGCGAGCUGGGUUUAGAACGUCGUGAGACAGUUCGGUCCCUAUCUGCCGUGGGCGCUGGAGAACUGAGGGGGCUGCUCCUAGUACGAGAGGACCGGAGUGGACGCAUCACUGGUGUUCGGGUUGUCAUGCCAAUGGCACUGCCCGGUAGCUAAAUGCGGAAGAGAUAAGUGCUGAAAGCAUCUAAGCACGAAACUUGCCCCGAGAUGAGUUCUCCCUGACCCUUUAAGGGUCCUGAAGGAACGUUGAAGACGACGACGUUGAUAGGCCGGGUGUGUAAGCGCAGCGAUGCGUUGAGCUAACCGGUACUAAUGAACCGUGAGGCUUAACCUU
rnacentral:rRNA from 1 species